AACGAACGCUGGCGGCAUGCCUAAUACAUGCAAGUCGAACGAGUGGCGGAGGGGUGAGUAAUGUAGGGGAAACUGCCUGACGGAGGGGGAUAACUACUGGAACCGGUAGCAAAAACCGCUACCAUCGGAUGUGCCCUGGUGGGAUUGGCGAGUUGGUGGGGUAAAGGCUCACCAAGGCGACGAUCCCUAGCUGGUCUGAGAGGAUGACCGGCCACACUGGAACUGAGACACGGUCCAGAUUCCUACGGGAGGCAGCAGUGGGGAAUAUUGGACAAUGGGCGCAAGCCUGAUGGAGCAAUGCCGCGUGGGUGAAGAAGGUCUUCGGGUUGUAAAGCACUUUCAGCGAGGAGGCGUUACCCAAAGAGGAAGCACCGGCUAACUCCGUGCCAGCAGCCGCGGUAAUAC
rnacentral:rRNA from 1 species